GAUGCUCAUCAGCUACGUCGACAAUCUCCCUACUGGGGAUGAGGAAGGAUUGUUCUAUGCAUUGGACCUCGGAGGAACAAACUUUCGUGUAUUAUGUGUGCAAUUGGGUGGAAAGGAAGGCCGCGUGGUUAGGCAAGAGGCUGAAGAGGUCUCCAUUCCACCACAUUUGAUGGUUGGAACCUCAAAAGAACUAUUCAAUUUCAUUGCUGCAGAAUUGGCAAAAUUUGUUGCCAAGGAAACGAUAGAUUUUCAUGCUAAUGUGGAAAGGCAAAGCGAGCUUGGAUUUACGUUCUCUUUCCCAGUAAGACAAUUGUCGAUUGCAUCUGGUACUCUUAUUAAAUGGACAAAG
rnacentral:misc_RNA from 1 species